CCCACACGUACACACGCGCGCGCAUGCACAAAAUACACUCACUACCUCUUUCAUUCCCAUAACACCUAGCUCUAAGGAAGAAGAGGAACAUCAAGCUGUACUUCCCAAUCUGUCCCGAAAGAAAUUAGACGGUACAUGAUCAUGAGGAAGAAGACGACAUCAAGCAUGUAGAAUUGGUGAGCCACAUCGAAGCUUCUAGCCGAAAGUAGAAUCCCUACCCUAACAAUUGAAUCUUACCCAUACUUGGUCUCCAAAAAUGCCCUAAUCCUUUUCUUUCUUCCAUUAUUUCUAUUAAGGAGGCAAGAUCAUUUACCCCAUCUGGGCUUGAAGUCGGAGAGUGGAGCGAUCUCAACCAAUUUCGACUCUCUAAACUUGAGGAUCCAGAUUUACCUUCAUUCUUCAGGGAAAACUCUGGAAGUUAAUCAACCACAAUAUGUUGCCUGCCUGAGUAUAUUACGCUCUGGCCUGCAGCGUCCCUUCGUGUAAAUAUUCGUGCAAGCAGAGGAGGAGGAAAUUGAAGAGGAAAAAAGAUAGCCAAAUUUCAGCAUUCGUGGUCCCACAAAAUCCAUAAAUUCGUCCAAAAUGGGUCCAAAAAAAAGGAGGACGGGAGAGAAAUGCUACUGUGACUACAUUAAGGAAUCAAGGAAAUAAUGGAAGCUUUAGCCUUAUAUAAUAUAUGUGUAAAUUCACCCCCAUGUGUCCAGGUGAGUUUGUGACCUUACCUCUUCACAACUAAAGACUUAAUAUAUGACUAUAUAUACUAGCAUUGGCUAGCAAGUUGAUUGACCCAAGCUUGUUAAGUAAGCUAAAACAAUAAAUAAUACUAUAUGCAAAUAUGUGAGACUAAUUUGAUUAGGUUUGUGUGUUGCUGGCAACAAUAUAUACACAUGGAAGUUUUAGCCACUUAAAUGCAUAAUAAUUAUUUAUCUAAAUACUUGAAAACAAUCAGCUCACUUUAAUGAGUAAUAAUUUACUCAUUAAAAGCACACACAAACACACUUUAGUAAAGAACUCACAAAAUCUUAAAAUUUAUUGUAAAAAAUAUUCAAAAUUUUGAUCAAAGUAUCUAACAUUUUUAAUUACCGUAACUCCAAGCCCAUUGUUAUGGUUUAUUCCUCUUUUUGUCUUAAUUUUUCAAAAGACAAAACACAAGAUAUGCUAGUCUUUUACUUCUCUUUAGACUAUUUUUAAAUUCUUAUUAGGACAAGGAGCCGAGCAUGGCUUAUAUCAUCCUUAUCAUCACAUGGUUCUUUGUAAAGAGGCCUAUUGUUGGACUUUUGCUAGCAAAGAAUUAAACUAAUGAAAAUGAUCCCAAAGGCACAGUAAUCCUGACUUAAUCCUUUCAUUUGUAGUUUCUUCUUUGUUCUCGAAGCAGUGACCUCUCAUUGUACCAUCUAGCCCUCUCAUUCUACCAUCUAGCAGCAGCUUACUGAUGCAUUGGUUUGGGCUCCCUUUGGAUUGCUUUAUUGGUUCAGUUUCCAUUCAUAAUAUCAGACUUUAAAAUAAUAAUAACAACAAUAAUGAUAAAAAAAUUAAUAAUAAACUUCCUAGUAAUAAAAUUUGCAUUGCAUUUUGAGGUAAUCACCGUAAUCUACAUCUUAUUUCAGCAAAACAAAUUUUUUUUUCUAUACUUCUCUUUUUUUUUUUUCGUUUUUUUUUUUUUUUUUUUGUCAAUUAUGUCUACAAGAAAAUUUGAAUCUGGGCAUGAAAAAAGAAAGAAAAAAAAAAGAAUCUGAAUUGGAUUGAAUUGGAUUACAAAUCUGCAAAGAUUGAAUCUGAAAUUUUUUUUUAGCAACAUGAACUAGUGGUUUGUUCAUAUAGCUAUUGAAAACACACAUUACAUCCCCACUGUUCUGCUCAUGUGGUGAUUCUGUGGACUAGUGGUUUGUUCAUAUAGCUAUUGAAAACACACAUUACAUCUCCACUUUGAAUUCAUGUUCUAGUUUUUUAAUUGCAUAAUUUUUAAGAAAUAAAAAUUCCUGGUUUGUUCAUGUGGUGUUUUUUUUUUUUUUUUUUCCUAUUCCUUUUAUCUUUCUUAUUCAAUUUUGGACACUGCCUCAUAAAAGCUCUGGUUUAUUUAUUAUGUGCCCAUAAUCCAGCUCUCAUUAAACUGUUCUUUUCUUAGAAGUCAAAAGGAAAAUUUUCUUUUUAAAAUUUCUUCUUCUUGCAUUAGCAUACUUAUCUGAUUUUAAUUACUACACCUCUCUUUUUUGGCUUGUUGUCUUGUUGUAUCAAGUUAUGAUGGUGUUGGCAGUGGCUUUAUUCUCAUAACAAUAUCACCAUUGGUUUUAAUUGGUAUCAUGUACCCCCUGAAAAAUUUGUAAAGCUUUUCAGAAAAUCGUUAACUUAUUAUUGCAUUAGAAACCUUUCUGCAUCUCUCUCUCUUGCAAAAAUGCGUAGUGGGUUCUCACAAUGUGUAAUCACAAUUUGAUAACCUACAUUACUGUGUUUAAUUAAUGGGACACGGCUAUACCUUUAACAAGAAAGUAAGUGCAUAUUGGAACCUUGUUGAAUUGAUGAUUCUGUUUUAUUGGUUACCAUGUGAUAAAAGGAUUUGCUUUUCAACUACUUAUUUUCUGUUAUUUAUGUUCUUAUUUUCCCGGAGCAAUGAAAUUAGGAGCAGAAGGAUCAGAAUCUCCAUGAUUCCAGUCUACAACAAAGGUUUCACAUUGAUUGCAAUAUAGCUCCCCUUUUGGAUUCAGAUUUCUUUUGAGAUUUUGAUGUCUAUGCGAUUAGCAUUGUUUAAUAUUUGGAUUUAUAACAUAACAUUUUGAUAUGUGCUUGAAUUAUCGUUUUAGAUAAUUUGCACAUUUUAAUAUCUAAAUUCUUAAUGGAAUAUGUGUUUUAUCUUC